UACGUAGGGGGCAAGCGUUGUUCGGAAUUAUUGGGCGUAAAGGGUGCGUAGGCGGUGCGGUAAGUCUGUUGUGAAAUCUCCGGGCUCAACUCGGAGUCUGCAUCAGAAACUGCCGUGCUGGAGUGUGGGAGAGGUGAGUGGAAUUCCCGGUGUAGCGGUGAAAUGCGUAGAGAUCGGGAGGAACACCUGCGGCGAAGGCGGCUUCCUGGUCUGCGACUGACGCUGUGGCGCGAAAGCUAGGGGAGCAAACGGG
rnacentral:rRNA from 1 species